ACUGUUAUAAUUUAUUUAAAAUAUUGAUUUUGUAAAUCAAAAAAAAUUUUUAUUUCUCAGUA
rnacentral:tRNA from 1 species